UACGUAGGGAGCAAGCGUUGUCCGGAAUCAUUGGGCGUAAAGCGUGCGUAGACGGUUAUUUAAGUCGGGUGUGAAAGCCCCGGGCUCAACCUGGGAAUUGCAUUCGAGACUGAAUAGCUAGGGUACGGUAGAGGGAAGCGGAAUUUCCGGUGUAGCGGUGAAAUGCGUAGAUAUCGGAAGGAACAUCAGUGGCGAAAGCGGCUUCCUGGACCAGUACCGACGUUCAGGCACGAAAGCGUGGGGAGCAAACGGG
rnacentral:rRNA from 1 species